rnacentral:misc_RNA from 1 species
GGUAUUCCAGAUUUACCAUUGUCAGUCAGACUCGUUGUGAGAAGACGCAUAUUGUUUUCGUGGAACCAAUCUUUAUCAGUUAAUUAUUUACUAUUCACUUUUGCAGGUUGACCACAGUGACAAUGUCGAAUUUCGAGCAAGAACAUAACGAGAUCUGUCAAUACGACUAUGUGCGGCUUGCCCUCUGUGAUCUGAAUGGCAUGAGUCGUGGUCAAGUGAUAGCUGGUCGCUAUGCCGCCGAAUACAUGGACGCGGGGUUGGAUAUGUGCCAAGACACGUUGUUACUUGGUCCUAGAACAGAAGUAGUUCCAGUAUUUCAUGAGAAGAACUAUAAUGUUGGCAAUAUGUUGAUCUUUCCUGACCCUGACACACUGAGGUCCAUUCCCUGGGCUCCGGACGGAGUGAAGGUUGCUGAAGUCUUGUGUGAGUCUCGAUGGAAGAAAGACAACUCUCCACAAGAAGCGUGUCCUCGGUAUGCUGCAAGACAGCAGCUUCAGAGGUUGGGUGAUCUUGGAUUUGAUUUGUAUUCCGGCCAUGAGAUUGAAUUCAAACUCCUUGACAAUAACACCAUGGAGCCAGUGUUUGCAGGAAGAGAUGUGUACAGUAACAGGGUAUUUAACAAACAUAGCAAAUUGUUAUUCCACUUUGAUAGGCAUUUUCAAGAAUCCAAGAUAGAUGUUGAAAGGUAUUAUGUUGAAAUUGGACCUGGGCUUUUUGAAGCUGUGACAAAACCCAAAUAUGGAAUCGAGAGCCCGGAUAUGGCUUUUAAUCUGAAGGAAGGUCUCUUGGAAAUGGCAGAUUUGGAGGGUUUUAAAAUCACCUUCAUGUCCCAACAUUCCUAUGAUCAGAUGGGGCUCUCCACACAUUUCAAUUUUUCGCUAUGGAAUAGAUGUGGUGAAAGCAUAUUUUAUGACGAAUGUUCUCCAGACAAACUGUCUACAGUUGCAAAACAAUGGAUUGCUGGUAUCCUGAAGCACAGUAAAGCUCUCUGUGCCUUUGCAAACCCUACUGUCAACUGCUAUAGGAACCUGGGUAAAUCUAUUUAUCCAUCACCUAUCUAUUGGGGAAUAGAGGACCGAUAUGCAUGCAUUCGCGCAAAAAACGAUGGACCUUCAAGAACAUACCUUGAGAACAGACUACCUGGCGGAAAGAGCAAUUUGUAUCUCGUAGUGGCGUCUACCAUUGCUGCUGGACUGGACGGCGUAAUUAAAAAGAUGGAGUGCCCACCUCCUGGCAAAACAGAGGACGUCGAAUAUCUCCCGCGUUCCCUGGCAGAAGCUCUGGAUGAGCUGGAAAAGGAUGAGGAUCUAUGUAAUGCCUUAGGGAAGGAACUGGUGACAUGGUUUGUCAAGUGCAAGAGAGAUAUGGAGGUCGCUAAGUACAAAUUGGUUGAGACAGACGAGCAACGCUUUGCUAUGGAAACAGUGGCGUAUUUCUAAUAUGACAACAUGUUGGGCUUGUCAACAAUGUAUGAUCGUUCAGCACUUCAGCACAGCUUCGCCUUUUCAUACUUCACUGCUAGUGGUUAUAUUUCUCUGCGAUUUCACCACCUCCGUGGUCUAGUGGAUAGUGCGCGCGUCUGCC